AGAGUUUGAUCAUGGCUCAGAAUGAACGUUGGCGGCGUGGAUUAGGCAUGCAAGUCGUACGGGCCGCAAGGCCAGUGGCGGAAGGGUGAGUAAGGCGACGGUAACCAACCCCACGGGUGGGUAUAGCCGCGGGAAACUGCGGGUAAUCCCCAGCGAAGUCGCGUGAUGGCAUCAUCGUGCGACCAAAGGUGUGAAUCCGCCGUGGGACGGGCCGUCGUGGUAUUAGGAUGAUGGCGGGGUAACGGCCCACCAAACCUACGAUGCCUACCGGGCGUGCGAGCGUGGCCCGGCACACUGGGACUGAGACACUGCCCAGACACCUACGGGUGGCUGCAGUCGAGAAUCUUCGGCAAUGGGCGCAAGCCUGACCGAGCGACGCCGCGUGGAGGACGAAGGCCCUCGGGUUGUAAACUCCUGUCGAGGGGGAAGAAGGCUCCGUGGAGAACGGAGCUUGACUGAUCCCUGGAGGAAGCACGGGCUAAGUUCGUGCCAGCAGCCGCGGUAAUAC
rnacentral:rRNA from 1 species